rnacentral:lncRNA from 1 species
AGUCAUUACGGUCUAAUAAGUAGGAGGUGGCAUAUGCUAAGUUAUCAUGGGACACUACUUACUUACCUGAUAAUGAAGAGAAGCUAAUGAAGUUUUAAAAAAAACUUCAAUACUCAGCAUUUCUCCCCAACCCCAUUCGUUUCAUCUCUCCCUAAAGGUUGGAGUCACCAUAUUUCCAUACCCUCAAAUUAUCACCAAAUUCUUAAGAAAUUGAAGCUAGUAACUGAAAUUGAGAAGGAAUUGAAGCCAUGGAUUGUUACAAGAAGGAAUUAAGAACGAAUUUGGAGCAAGAAUUCAAAGGAUUACAUCAAUUAAACUUCAAAUUGAGAGGUAAGCCAUGUGUUUUAUGGAGUUCAUAGAAAUUGAAAGUAUAGAAUGCUAUUUAUUGCUAUAAUUGUGAUGUUUGGUUGUGGAAUUGGUUGGGUAAUAAUAUUGUAUAAGUUCUGAAGUAAUAAGGGAGGAUCCAUGAAGUCUGCAAGUGUUAAAUAAAUCUGUUAGCUGUAGGAAUUGGUUAAGUUAUGUAUGGUAUUUGAAAUACUAUUAAUUGAUUAUAGUUAUGUUGAUUUAAUACAAAGGCG